rnacentral:miRNA from 1 species
UAGGUAGUGUCAUGUUGUUGGG